GCUUUUCUCUAAUUUAACCACAGGGGUCCCUGGCUUCUGUUCAUUGGUCGCUUGUAAGUAUCUGUAUCUGACUCCUUCACCUGCUUUUUUGGGCCUCUCAGAGGCUUGCUAUGCUAGGCUCCUGUCUGUGUCAGGCCUUGGAGCCUCCCCUUCAGGUGGAUCCCAAUUUGGGUCAGUUAUUGGAUCUCCUUUCUCUCAGUAUCUUCUCCAGUUUUGUCCCCACAGUUCUUUUAGACAGGAACAAUUCUGGGUCAGUGUUUUUGACUGUAGGAUGGCAACACCAUCAUUUUACGUGAUGCCCUGUCUUUCUACUAGAGGUAAACUCUACAAGUUCCCUCUACCCACUGUAGGGCAUUUUAUCUAAGGUCCUUCCCUUUGAGUCCUGAGGGACUCUCACUUCCCAGGACUCUGGUACUUUCUAGAGGGUCUGCCCACCUCCUGACUCCUGAAGUUGCCUGUUUCCAUUCUUCCUGUUGUCCCUCAGGGAUUCACUACUGUUUCCCACCAUCCCCAAUACCUGAUCAUGUUCCCCUUCUUGUAUCCAUUUACAAAAAAAAAA
rnacentral:lncRNA from 1 species